UUGAACGCUGGCGGCAGGCCUAACACAUGCAAGUCGAGCGGUAGCACAGAGAGCUUGCUCUCGGGUGACGAGCGGCGGACGGGUGAGUAAUGUCUGGGAAACUGCCUGAUGGAGGGGGAUAACUACUGGAAACGGUAGCUAAUACCGCAUAAUGUCGCAAGACCAAAGUGGGGGACCUUCGGGCCUCAUGCCAUCAGAUGUGCCCAGAUGGGAUUAGCUAGUAGGUGGGGUAACGGCUCACCUAGGCGACGAUCCCUAGCUGGUCUGAGAGGAUGACCAGCCACACUGGAACUGAGACACGGUCCAGACUCCUACGGGAGGCAGCAGUGGGGAAUAUUGCACAAUGGGCGCAAGCCUGAUGCAGCCAUGCCGCGUGUGUGAAGAAGGCCUUCGGGUUGUAAAGCACUUUCAGCGGGGAGGAAGGCGUUAAGGUUAAUAACCUUGGCGAUUGACGUUACCCGCAGAAGAAGCACCGGCUAACUCCGUGCCAGCAGCCGCGGUAAUACGGAGGGUGCAAGCGUUAAUCGGAAUUACUGGGCGUAAAGCGCACGCAGGCGGUCUGUCAAGUCGGAUGUGAAAUCCCCGGGCUCAACCUGGGAACUGCAUUCGAAACUGGCAGGCUAGAGUCUUGUAGAGGGGGGUAGAAUUCCAGGUGUAGCGGUGAAAUGCGUAGAGAUCUGGAGGAAUACCGGUGGCGAAGGCGGCCCCCUGGACAAAGACUGACGCUCAGGUGCGAAAGCGUGGGGAGCAAACAGGAUUAGAUACCCUGGUAGUCCACGCCGUAAACGAUGUCGAUUUGGAGGUUGUGCCCUUGAGGCGUGGCUUCCGGAGCUAACGCGUUAAAUCGACCGCCUGGGGAGUACGGCCGCAAGGUUAAAACUCAAAUGAAUUAACGGGGGCACGCACAAGCGGUGGAGCAUGUGGUUUAAUUCGAUGCAACGCGAAGAACCUUACCUGGUCUUGACAUCCACAGAACUUUCCAGAGAUGGAUUGGUGCCUUCGGGAACUGUGAGACAGGUGCUGCAUGGCUGUCGUCAGCUCGUGUUGUGAAAUGUUGGGUUAAGUCCCGCAACGAGCGCAACCCUUAUCCUUUGUUGCCAGCGGUUCGGCCGGGAACUCAAAGGAGACUGCCAGUGAUAAACUGGAGGAAGGUGGGGAUGACGUCAAGUCAUCAUGGCCCUUACGACCAGGGCUACACACGUGCUACAAUGGCAUAUACAAAGAGAAGCGACCUCGCGAGAGCAAGCGGACCUCAUAAAGUAUGUCGUAGUCCGGAUUGGAGUCUGCAACUCGACUCCAUGAAGUCGGAAUCGCUAGUAAUCGUAGAUCAGAAUGCUACGGUGAAUACGUUCCCGGGCCUUGUACACACCGCCCGUCACACCAUGGGAGUGGGUUGCAAAAGAAGUAGGUAGCUUAACCUUCGGGAGGGCGCUUACCACUUUGUGAUUCAUGACUGGGGUG
rnacentral:rRNA from 1 species